UACAGAGGGUGCAAGCGUUAAUCGGAAUUACUGGGCGUAAAGCGUGCGUAGACGGUUGCGUAAGUCAGAUGUGAAAGCCCCGGGCUCAACCUGGGAAUUGCAUUUGAGACUGCGUAGCUAGGGUGCGGAAGAGGGAAGCGGAAUUUCCGGUGUAGCGGUGAAAUGCGUAGAUAUCGGGAAGAACACCCGUGGCGAAGGCGGUUCUCUGGGCAUUACCUGACGCUGAGGAGCGAAAGCAUGGGGAGCAAACGGG
rnacentral:rRNA from 1 species